UUCAAAUAUUGGCCCGCCCAACUGCAUGAAAAAGUUGCUACCUUUUUUCAAGACAGUCUUUAAAACAAGAAAAUUAGAAUAAUGGAGGAUAUUGGCGAUUUCUUUAAUAUAAAUGAACGAAAAAUAGCACGCCUUAAUGAUUUCAUAGCAUUAAGCCUAAGAAGAAAAAAUAUAUCAAAGGAACUGCAGGGCCUAGCUGAUCAAGCCACAGUUAUACGAGACCAACUGGUAGUGGCACAUGAAUCCAUGCUGACAGAAAUGAAUAAGCUGGAAGAUGAUUUUACAAUGGUCAUGUCUGAAAUGCGAAAAAAGCAAAUAUUGAUAAUGCAAUUUAUUAUUGAGGAAAAAGAACGAAAAAUUAAAGAGGCUGAGGAAGAAGACAAGAAAGUUCAAUUGCUGUUGAGCUGUGGCAAAAGCAAGGGAGCAACCGGUAGUGCAAUUAAAAAAUCUGCCAGCAAAUCAGCAGUCAAGUUGUUGGGAUCUAAUUUAGCUAGGCUAAAUUUAAAUCAUCAUGGCAGUAUUACUCCAAAAAUAAAAAUUAAAGACUACAAGCAAUCUCCUUUGGUUCAGAAAAAGAUCUCACCAAUUCCUAUACAAUUUGAAGAAUUUGAUGUACAAAUAGCACAAAAGGAUUUUGACAAAAUUCCCAAAUACAUGUGCGGCCGAGAGACCUUAGAUCAAUUGAACUCCUUUUUAGAAACUGUAAUAAUACCAUGCUUCAAUGAGAAAUACAAAUUAAUACAUAAACAACGUCAAGGACUACGUUCUAAUGACUUGGAAUUGUGGAAAAUGUUUAACGAGCAAUCACAUUACUUGCCCGGUAAACAUUUCAUAACACUUGGAGAUAUAACACGGGUAUUAAAUAAGAUGUUGGAUAAGAAAACUCAAAAUCGUCUAACAAUGCUUCGCCAUGUAGGGAUACUGCAAGAACAACGUAUUAAACAAACUGUGUGUUAUGUUUGGUCUUAUAAUGGAUAAUGUGCGAUUGAAUUUUAAGGAUAGUUUUAAAUGCUUGACUAUACUUCAAAGAUAUGGGAUUUAUACAACUGAUAAGAUGCAAUAUCACAAUGAAAUUGUAUGUCUUCAGAUCUAUGGCUGGCCUGGAUGCAACUCACUCAACAUUUUCAUAUUUUCAAUCACAAAAAUUUUAAUUUAUCUAUACUGUUCUUUAAAAUUUUGUUUUCACUCACUUUUUGUCAUUUUCCAUGUAAUUGAGAUUUUAUAUAAUAAACCCAAACAAUAAAUACGAUUUUAAAUAGUAAA